rnacentral:rRNA from 1 species
UACGUAGGGGGCAAGCGUUGUCCGGAUUUAUUGGGCGUAAAGAGCUCGUAGGCGGCUUGGCAAGUCGGGUGUGAAAACUUCAGGCUCAACCUGGAGCGGCCACUCGAUACUGCUAUGGCUUGAGUCCGGUAGGGGACCACGGAAUUCCUGGUGUAGCGGUGAAAUGCGCAGAUAUCAGGAGGAACACCAGUGGCGAAGGCGGUGGUCUGGGCCGGAACUGACGCUGAGGAGCGAAAGCGUGGGGAGCAAACAGG